rnacentral:rRNA from 1 species
GACGAACGCUGGCGGCGUGCUUAACACAUGCAAGUCGAACGGAAAGGCCCUGCUUUUGUGGGGUUCUCGAGUGCCGAACGGGUGAGUAACACGUGAGUAACCUGCCCUUGACUUUGGGAUAACUUCAGGAAACUGGGGCUAAUACCGGAUAGGAUCUCCUGCUGCAUGGGGGGGGUUGGAAAGUUUCGGCUGUUGGGGAUGGACUCGCGGCUUAUCAGCUUGUUGGUGGGGUAGUGGCUUACCAAGGCUUUGACGGGUAGCCGGCCUGAGAGGGUGACCGGGCACAUUGGGACUGAGGUAGGGCCCAGACUGGUACGGGCGGCAGCAGGCGGGAAUAUUGCACAAUGGGCCGAAGCCUGAUGCGGAGGCGCCGCGUGCGGAAUGACGGCUUUCGGGUUAUGAACCGCUUUCGCCUGUGACGAAGCGUGAGUGACGGUAAUGAGUAAAGAAGCACCGGCUAACUACGUG